AGUAACGCGUGAGGAACCUGCCUCAAAGAGGGGGACAACAGUUGGAAACGACUGCUAAUACCGCAUAAGCCCACAACUCGGCAUCGAGCAGAGGGAAAAGGAGUGAUCCGCUUUGAGAUGGCCUCGCGUCCGAUUAGCUAGUUGGUGAGGUAAUGGCCCACCAAGGCGACGAUCGGUAGCCGGACUGAGAGGUUGAACGGCCACAUUGGGACUGAGACACGGCCCAG
rnacentral:rRNA from 1 species